GGAAUUAAGUCAGAGAAGUGAUGGUGUAAAUGAGAGAUAAUUAGGGCCUUGAAAGGCCCUGCAAGGAGACUCAGAAGUCAACUCUAAGUCAGAGAGAAAACUGCUGGAGGAUUUUGAACAGAGAAAUUUGGAGGAAAACAGAAUGAAUCCUACACAUGUGUACAAACCCGCAAAUGAGGGGAAAGCACAGGGAGCUUGUGUCAAAUUCUCCAGCAAAGAUGUGCACAGUUAGAAUUGAAAAGCAACGGGAUAAACAAGGAAAGUGCAAAGAGGAUCAUGUGUUGUUCUUGUGUAUAAAAGAUUCCUUGAAGCAUCUUGGAUUAAGUCGUGCGCAAGAUGGCUGAAUAGGAACAGCUCCGGUCUGCAGCUCCCAGCAAGAUCAACACAGAAGACAAACUAAGCUUCACAAGCAAAGGAGCAA
rnacentral:lncRNA from 1 species